UGCGCAAGUCAUUGGGACUUAAAGCGAAACCUAAAGGCAAAAUGAAAGUGAAUAUACGUGCGCGUGUGUGCCAUUCGUGGUGCAUGCACACACAGAGGGAGGAUGGGCCGACCCACAGUUGGCCGGCCCCGCACUCCCAGGGCGUCUCGAGUUCAAUGAGAACUGAGGCGCACCUAGAGCGUACACGCUGGGACCCGAAAGAUGGUGAACUAUGCCUGGUCAGGACGAAGUCAGGGGAAACCCUGAUGGAGGUCCGUAGCGAUUCUGACGUGCAAAUCGAUCGUCGGAACUGGGUAUAGGGGCGAAAGACUAAUCGAACCAUCUAGUAGCUCGUUC
rnacentral:rRNA from 1 species